AUGCCUAGUUAAAGUUGAAUUUCAGAUAAACAUGAAUAAUAUUUUAGUAUAAGUAUGUUCCGUGCAGUAUUUGGGACAUACUUAUAGUAGACACUGUUUUUUGAUGUGAAAUUCAAAUUUAAUUGG
rnacentral:miRNA from 1 species